rnacentral:rRNA from 1 species
CCUACGGGAGGCAGCAGUGGGGAAUAUUGCACAAUGGGCGCAAGCCUGAUGCAGCAACGCCGCGUGAGGGACGACGGCCUUCGGGUUGUAAACCUCUUUUAGUAGGGAAGAAGCGAAAGUGACGGUACCUGCAGAAAAAGCACCGGCUAACUACGUGCCAGCAGCCGCGGUAAUACGUAGGGUGCAAGCGUUAUCCGGAAUUAUUGGGCGUAAAGAGCUCGUAGGCGGUUUGUCGCGUCUGCUGUGAAAACUGGAGGCUCAACCUCCAGCCUGCAGUGGGUACGGGCAAACUAGAGUGCGGUAGGGGAGAUUGGAAUUCCUGGUGUAGCGGUGGAAUGCGCAGAUAUCAGGAGGAACACCGAUGGCGAAGGCAGAUCUCUGGGCCGUAACUGACGCUGAGGAGCGAAAGCAUGGGGAGCGAACAGGAUUAGAUACCCUGGUAGUCCAUGCCGUAAACGUUGGGCGCUAGAUGUGGGGACCAUUCCACGGUUUCCGUGUCGCAGCUAACGCAUUAAGCGCCCCGCCUGGGGNGGACGGCGCGAGACGAACUAAUAGAGUAGAGCGNGAGAGUCGCGACGGACGACGACGAGGGAGGAGG